AUUGAACGCUGGCGGCAUGCUUUACACAUGCAAGUCGAACGGCAGCGCGGGCUUCGGCCUGGCGGCGAGUGGCGAACGGGUGAGUAAUACAUCGGAACGUGCCCAGUAGUGGGGGAUAGCUCGGCGAAAGCCGGAUUAAUACCGCAUACGACCUGAGGGUGAAAGCGGGGGAUCUUCGGACCUCGCGCUAUUGGCGCGGCCGAUGGCAGAUUAGCUAGUUGGUGGGGUAAAGGCCUACCAAGGCGACGAUCUGUAGCUGGUCUGAGAGGACGACCAGCCACACUGGGACUGAGACACGGCCCAGACUCCUACGGGAGGCAGCAGUGGGGAAUUUUGGACAAUGGGCGAAAGCCUGAUCCAGCAAUGCCGCGUGUGUGAUGAAGGCCUUCGGGUUGUAAAGCACUUUUGGCGGGAACGAAAAGGACUGUGCCAAUACCACGGUGCGAUGACGGUACCCGCAGAAUAAGCACCGGCUAACUACGUG
rnacentral:rRNA from 1 species